GAUGAACGCUAGCUACAGGCUUAACACAUGCAAGUCGAGGGGUAGCAGGGUAGCAAUACCGCUGACGACCGGCGCACGGGUGAGUAACACGUAUCCAACCUUCCCAUAACUCGGGGAUAGCCUUUCGAAAGAAAGAUUAAUACCCGAUAGUACUUUUUCAAGGCAUCUUGAGAAAGUUAAAGAUUUAUUGGUUAUGGAUGGUGAUGCGUUCCAGUAGAUAGUUGGUGAGGUAACGGCUCACCAAGUCUUCGAUGGAUAGGGGUUCUGAGAGGAAGGUCCCCCACAUUGGUACUGAGACACGGACCAAACUCCUACGGGAGGCAGCAGUGAGGAAUAUUGGUCAAUGGGCGAGAGCCUGAACCAGCCAAGUAGCGUGAAGGAUUAAGGUCCUAUGGAUUGUAAACUUCUUUUAUAGUAGAAUAAAGUGAUCCACGUGUGGAUUUUUGUAUGUAUACUAUGAAUAAGGAUCGGCUAACUCCGUGCCAGCAGCCGCAGUAA
rnacentral:rRNA from 1 species